CCACUGGAACGGUGGCUAAUACCGGAUGUGCCGGAAGGUGAAAGGCUUGCUGCCUGAAGAUGAGCUCGCGUCCGAUUAGCUAGUAGGUGGGGUAAGAGCCUACCUAGGCGACGAUCGGUAGCUGGUCUGAGAGGAUGACCAGCCACACUGGGACUGAGACACGGCCCAGACUCCUACGGGAGGCAGCAGUGGGGAAUUUUCCGCAAUGGGCGAAAGCCUGACGGAGCAAUACCGCGUGAGGGAGGAAGGCUCUUGGGUUGUAAACCUCUUUUCUCAGGGAAGAACACAAUGACGGUACCUGAGGAAUCAGCAUCGGCUAACUCCGUGCCAGCAGCCGCGGUAAUACGGAGGAUGCAAGCGUUAUCCGGAAUGAUUGGGCGUAAAGCGUCCGCAGGUGGCUGUGUAAGUCUGCUGUCAAAGAGCAAAGCUCAACUUUGUAAAGGCAGUGGAAACUACACGGCUAGAGUGCGUUCGGGGCAGAGGGAAUUCCUGGUGUAGCGGUGAAAUGCGUAGAGAUCAGGAAGAACACCGGUGGCGAAGGCGCUCUGCUAGGCCGCAACUGACACUGAGGGACGAAAGCUAGGGGAGCGAAAGGGAUUAGAUACCCCUUGUAGUCACC
rnacentral:rRNA from 1 species